GGUUAAGCGACUAAGCGUACACGGUGGAUGCCCUGGCAGUCAGAGGCGAUGAAGGACGUGCUAAUCUGCGAAAAGCGUCGGUAAGGUGAUAUGAACCGUUAUAACCGGCGAUGUCCGAAUGGGGAAACCCAGUGUGAUUCGUCACACUAUCGUUAACUGAAUACAUAGGUUAACGAGGCGAACCGGGGGAACUGAAACAUCUAAGUACCCCGAGGAAAAGAAAUCAACCGAGAUUCCCCCAGUAGCGGCGAGCGAACGGGGAGCAGCCCAGAGUCUGAAUCAGCUUGUGUGUUAGUGGAACGGUCUGGAAAGUCCGACGGUACAGGGUGAUAGUCCCGUACACCAAAAUGCACAGGCUGUGAACUCGAAGAGUAGGGCGGGACACGUGGUAUCCUGUCUGAAUAUGGGGGGACCAUCCUCCAAGGCUAAAUACUCCUGACUGACCGAUAGUGAACCAGUACCGUGAGGGAAAGGCGAAAAGAACCCCGGCGAGGGGAGUGAAAAAGAACCUGAAACCGUGUACGUACAAGCAGUGGGAGCACCUUCGGGUGUGACUGCGUACCUUUUGUAUAAUGGGUCAGCGACUUAUAUUCUGUAGCAAGGUUAACCGUAUAGGGGAGCCGCAGGGAAACCGAGUCUUAACUGGGCGUUAAGUUGCAGGGUAUAGACCCGAAACCCGGUGAUCUAGCCAUGGCAGGUUGAAGGUUGGGUAACACUAACUGGAGGACCGAACCGACUAAUGUUGAAAAAUUAGCGGAUGACUUGUGGCUGGGGGUGAAAGGCCAAUCAAACCGGGAGAUAGCUGGUUCUCCCCGAAAGCUAUUUAGGUAGCGCCUCGUGAAUUCAUCUUCGGGGGUAGAGCACUGUUUCGGCUAGGGGGUCAUCCCGACUUACCAACCCGAUGCAAACUACGAAUACCGAAGAAUGUUAUCACGGGAGACACACGGCGGGUGCUAACGUCCGUCGUGAAGAGGGAAACAACCCAGACCGCCAGCUAAGGUCCCAAAGUCAUGGUUAAGUGGGAAACGAUGUGGGAAGGCACAGACAGCCAGGAUGUUGGCUUAGAAGCAGCCAUCAUUUAAAGAAAGCGUAAUAGCUCACUGGUCGAGUCGGCCUGCGCGGAAGAUGUAACGGGGCUAAACCAUGCACCGAAGCUGCGGCAGCGACACUAUGUGUUGUUGGGUAGGGGAGCGUUCUGUAAGCCUGCGAAGGUGACCUGUGAGGGUUGCUGGAGGUAUCAGAAGUGCGAAUGCUGACAUAAGUAACGAUAAAGCGGGUGAAAAGCCCGCUCGCCGGAAGACCAAGGGUUCCUGUCCAACGUUAAUCGGGGCAGGGUGAGUCGACCCCUAAGGCGAGGCCGAAAGGCGUAGUCGAUGGGAAACAGGUUAAUAUUCCUGUACUUGGUGUUACUGCGAAGGGGGGACGGAGAAGGCUAUGUUAGCCGGGCGACGGUUGUCCCGGUUUAAGCAUGUAGGCUGGUUAUCCAGGCAAAUCCGGAUAAUCAAGGCUGAGGUGUGAUGACGAGGUACUACGGUGCUGAAGUAACAAAUGCCCUGCUUCCAGGAAAAGCCUCUAAGCAUCAGGUAACAUCAAAUCGUACCCCAAACCGACACAGGUGGUCAGGUAGAGAAUACCAAGGCGCUUGAGAGAACUCGGGUGAAGGAAACUAGGCAAAAUGGUGCCGUAACUUCGGGAGAAGGCACGCUGGUGUGUAGGUGAAGUCCCUGCGGAUGGAGCUGAGACCAGUCGAAGAUACCAGCUGGCUGCAACUGUUUAUUAAAAACACAGCACUGUGCAAACACGAAAGUGGACGUAUACGGUGUGACGCCUGCCCGGUGCCGGAAGGUUAAUUGAUGGGGUUAUCCGUAAGGAGAAGCUCUUGAUCGAAGCCCCGGUAAACGGCGGCCGUAACUAUAACGGUCCUAAGGUAGCGAAAUUCCUUGUCGGGUAAGUUCCGACCUGCACGAAUGGCGUAAUGAUGGCCAGGCUGUCUCCACCCGAGACUCAGUGAAAUUGAACUCGCUGUGAAGAUGCAGUGUACCCGCGGCAAGACGGAAAGACCCCGUGAACCUUUACUAUAGCUUGACACUGAACAUUGAGCCUUGAUGUGUAGGAUAGGUGGGAGGCUUUGAAGCGUGGACGCCAGUCUGCGUGGAGCCAACCUUGAAAUACCACCCUUUAAUGUUUGAUGUUCUAACGUUGGCCCCUUAUCGGGGUUGCGGACAGUGUCUGGUGGGUAGUUUGACUGGGGCGGUCUCCUCCCAAAGCGUAACGGAGGAGCACGAAGGUUAGCUAAUCCUGGUCGGACAUCAGGAGGUUAGUGCAAUGGCAUAAGCUAGCUUGACUGCGAGCGUGACGGCGCGAGCAGGUGCGAAAGCAGGUCAUAGUGAUCCGGUGGUUCUGAAUGGAAGGGCCAUCGCUCAACGGAUAAAAGGUACUCCGGGGAUAACAGGCUGAUACCGCCCAAGAGUUCAUAUCGACGGCGGUGUUUGGCACCUCGAUGUCGGCUCAUCACAUCCUGGGGCUGAAGUAGGUCCCAAGGGUAUGGCUGUUCGCCAUUUAAAGUGGUACGCGAGCUGGGUUUAGAACGUCGUGAGACAGUUCGGUCCCUAUCUGCCGUGGGCGCUGGAGAAUUGAGGAGGGCUGCUCCUAGUACGAGAGGACCGGAGUGGACGCAUCACUGGUGUUCGGGUUGUCAUGCCAAUGGCACUGCCCGGUAGCUAAAUGCGGAAGAGAUAAGUGCUGAAAGCAUCUAAGCACGAAACUUGCCCCGAGAUGAGUUCUCCCUGAGACUUUAAGUCUCCUGAAGGAACGUUAAAGACGAUGACGUUGAUAGGCCGGGUGUGUAAGCGCAGCGAUGCGUUGAGCUAACCGGUACUAAUGAACCGUGAGGCUUAACCUU
rnacentral:rRNA from 1 species